UAAAAGCCCAAAAUCACUUAUAAAGACCUACACAAAUUAUAUACUUAUAUAGAUGUCCCUCUGUCGCAAAAUAAAACUCGUCUUAGAGAAAUAGUAGAUUUAUAUAGUACUUAAUCUAUACUACUCUAUUAAGAAGCUAAAAAGAGCUUCCACACCUCGUGCUUGCCCCGCGCCCCCGCCUGCGCGUGCAGAGACAUAGGCCUCGCCGUCGUGAUUGAUGCGCCACCGCUGCACCGGCCCCGCCGCCGUGAUUACCACGCCACUUAUGCCCUCGCCCUCGCUCUGUCUCGCGUUCGCGUGCCCCCCCGCAGCGCAGGUCCGCGACCGCACCCCUCCCCCCCCCCGCCCCACAUAGGUCCGGUCCCCGGCGCCGGCGCCGCGAUGCCCAGGAUCAGAAGCGGCGACCUCGCUCUUGCCGCUCAAGCACGAAAGAAGCCCCGUCGAGCCGGAGGCCGCGUGUCGUGUUCCGGCCCUCGACGCCGUGCUCGACCGCAAUACGACCUUCCUCUUCCUUCGCCGAGUGUGAUCGUUCCUGGCUUCCCUCCUGCAUCCGCAUCGGAUCCCCAUGCCGAGGCUGGAAAGCUGUACGACCUUCGCACUCCGCUACGCGCAAGUGGCGGCCUCGCUCCUGCCGCUCAAGCACGAAAGAAGCCCAUCGAGCCAAAGGCCGUGCGAUGUGUUCCAGCCCUCGACGCCGUGCUCGACCAUGAUACGCCCUUCCGCUUCCUUCGCCAAGUGUGCUCGUUCCUGGCUUCCUUCGCCAGAGUAAUAUCUGAGUCAGCAACUUGACUUCAUUUGAAUCAUGCGGCUUCUUAGGUUUCAGUCUGACUAAAUAUCUAAGUUUGCAGCCGCACCUUUUGUUUCAUGUCUUCUUUGGGGGUGGCCGGGUGGAGUGGGUUGGAGCUGCAAAGUCCCUGAUUUUUAAUGCAUUUUGUCAGAGUAGCCACAUGGUAUGUGUUAUUUUCUGAUGGUUGGUGAACCGAUGUUCAGUUUGAAUAGGGUGGCAUUCUGACGACAACAGGUAUAUCUUUGCUAUUUACUUCCUUGUUCGCAGUGUGAUGGCUUUUGGCCUUUUGCCUUGCGCCUAGAACAAUAACAAUGACUAAUAGAAUCAGCGGGGCAACAUCCGAUAUAUUAUCUAAUUAUCGUGGCUGGUGCUGAGGCAGUUGCGUUGUGUGGUGGGUCUCAAAUCCCAAUUAGGCUAGGAAGAUUAGAUUCUAGGUGAGAAAUUGCAAUGAUUUUUUUAAUUUACUCCUCCAGCUUACGGUUAUAAAAAAGCUAUGUGUUUUGUCUUUGUAUCGUUAGUUUCCUCAAGAUAGCUUCUGGACUUACUGAACAAACUUGCAAUAGCACUCAAGUAUCUUCCUCCUGCACUGAAUAAGACAACACUCCCUUUGAUGCUGUUGAGGAACACCCACAUGGGAGGUCAACGGUAAUUGUAAUUGUAGCCCUAGGUGUCAAUGGAACACCAUCGCCAAAAUUCAUUGCAAGUCCACUGAAGGUCCUCUGAACCAAAGAGACGCUUGAUGGGCUAAAUGAAAGAUCCAGGCAUCAUUUUCUUUGAUGGAGUCAAGUAUGUCUUUGUCUUGCAACAUUUAGCAUGUUUUGCAAGGUUUAUAGUUCGUUAUACUUGUAAACCGGAAAACCAUAAAGCGCCAAAAAGGACAACAUGAUAUAUGUUAUUUAUCAACGUAGAUUCAAAGAGCGUGCUAGGUACUUAUUUGUUCGUUCAUUCAACUCAACACAUGGAUGCAGAUCAAAUGUGCCACCAAUAUUUCACUGUUACAUAAAUCCAGUAAGAUUUAUCUCUUUUUCUGAUCUUGUAUAAAAAAUAGUCUAGAAUAUUUUGCUUUCAUAGUUUGUUACCACCUGAUUUGAAGUGUAAAACUUGUACUAUCUCAUUUAAUAUAUAGAAAUUGUAUUAACACACAGACACUUAAUUAGGUAUAUGUUCGUGCGUUGCUACGAAAUUAAUAUGAUAACAUACAUCAAUAUGCAAAAAAUAUUUUGUUUUAUUAUAUUGAUCCUGUAGCAACGUACGGUCAUAUAACUAAUCUUUACACCUAUUAAGAACCUAAGGAGGGCGUCCACACCCUAUGCCCCCGCCUCGUGUUCCCUGUCUCGCAGCAAUCAACACCCGCCGCUCGUUCCCCGUGCCACCUGCCUCUCCACCGCGACAGGCGCCGCGCAAACGCCGCCCCCACGCGCUCCCCCUCCUGUCGCCCUGCUCCCCCUCCCCCCGACCGGGAUCUGCGGCUGCUGCCAUCCUCAAAACGCCGGAGGCCAUGGGGUUCGACUGCGCGCACCGCUCUGCACUGGAUGCCAUGGGAUUCGACUACGUGCACCGCUCUGCUGUAGACAUCGUCAUCGUCGAUGUCCUCCUCCGCUACAUCACCCACCUGGACUGGUCUGCCGCCUUCCAUGCCAACCUCGCCGGCCACGCACUCGCCAACGAGCUCGACGUUGUACAGGUGCUCGCAGGUGGUCGGCACCGACACGGACGGCUUCGCGGGCGCGGCGGCCACGGACCGCUGCCUCGUUGGCUUCGGUGUAAUUAGAGACCUCAUGGUGUUCGUCGACAACUAACUCGAUGAUUACCGAAGGAUGGAUGAGCACGAUCAAUAUGAGUCAAUUGGUUUAGAUGAUUCACUCGAGGAUGAGAGGAAUCUUGAUGAAACCAUGGCUGAUCGAAGGGUCGUAGAAGUAGAGCCUAAUGCAAGGGAUGUGAGGACUGGUGUAGCAGAUGACAAGAAGUAUGCCUUCAAGACAAGUUUUAGUUACUGUAUGAUAUUAGAGAAAUUAUCAUAUUUAUAUUCUAGAUUAAUGAUCUUGAUUGAACUACCGAAUGAGUAUUUGGUAUGUGAACUUAUGUUGCAUCUUUUGGCUCUCGUGAAUUAUUGCUUAGGGCA